GAUGAACGCUGGCUACAGGCUUAACACAUGCAAGUCGAGGGGAAACGACGGGGAAGCUUGCUUCCCCGGGCGUCGACCGGCGCACGGGUGAGUAACGCGUAUCCAACCUGCCUCUGACUGAGGGAUAACCCGUCGAAAGUCGGCCUAAUACCUCAUGGCAUCGUCUGCGGGCAUCCAACGACGAUUAAAGAUUUCAUCGGUCAGGGACGGGGAUGCGUCUGAUUAGCUUGUUGGCGGGGUAACGGCCCACCAAGGCUACGAUCAGUAGGGGUUCUGAGAGGAAGGUCCCCCACAUUGGAACUGAGACACGGUCCAAACUCCUACGGGAGGAAGCAGUGAGGAAUAUUGGUCAAUGGGCGGGAGCCUGAACCAGCCAAGUAGCGUGCAGGAUGACGGCACUAUGGGUUGUAAACUGCUUUUAUGCGGGGAUAAAGUGAGGGACGUGUCCUUCAUUGCAGGUACCGCAUGAAUAAGGACCGGCUAAUUCCGUG
rnacentral:rRNA from 1 species